rnacentral:rRNA from 1 species
CUCUUCUUGUUUAAAUAUGAAGUAUAACCUGCCCAAUGAUUAUUUUAAUGGCCGCGGUAUAUUGACCGUGCAAAGGUAGCAUAAUCAUUAGUCUUUUAAUUGAAGGCUGGUAUGAAUGGUUGGACGAGACAAUAACUGUCUUAAUUUAAUUAUAUUAGAAUUUAAUUUUUAGGUUAAAAAGCUUAAAUAAUUUUUUGGGACGAGAAGACCCUAUAGAGUUUAUAUAUAAAUUAUAGUGAGUAUAUGUGUGUAAAAUGAUUUAUUAUAAUAAUAUUUUGUUGGGGUGAUGGAAAGAUACAAGUAACUCUUUUUAUUGAUUAUUAAAUAUUUAUAUAUUAUUGAUCCAUUAUUAGUGAUUAAAAGACUAAAUUACC